UGGGGAAUUUUCCACAAUGGGCGAAAGCCUGAUGGAGCAACGCCGCGUGUGUGAUGAAGGUCUUCGGAUCGUAAAGCACUUUCGACCGGGAAGAAAAACCUCUGGCUAACAUCCAGGGGCCUGACGGUACCGGGAGAAGAAGCACCGGCUAACUCUGUGCCAGCAGCCGCGGUAAUACAGAGGGUGCAAGCGUUGUUCGGAAUUAUUGGGCGUAAAGCGCGUGUAGGCGGCUUGGCAAGUCAGAUGUGAAAGCCCAUGGCUUAACCAUGGAAGUGCGUCUGAAACUGCUGAGCUUGAGUCUCGGAGAGGAUGGCGGAAUUCCGCAAGUAGAGGUGAAAUUCGUAGAUAUGCGGAGGAACACCGGUGGCGAAGGCGGCCAUCUGGACGAGUACUGACGCUGAGACGCGAAAGCGUGGGGAGCAAACA
rnacentral:rRNA from 1 species